UAGUCAUAUGCUUGUCUCAAAGAUUAAGCCAUGCAUGUCUAAGCACAAGCCGAUUAAUGGUGAAGCCGCGAAUGGCUCAUUACAACAGCCAUAGUUUCUUAGAUCUUACUUUUCUACUUGGAUAACUGUGGUAAUUCUAGAGCUAAUACACGCAAACAAGCUCAGACCUUACGGAAUGAGCGCAUUUAUUAGAACAAAAACCAAUCGGGCUUCGGUCCGUCAUUUGGUGAAUCUGAAUAACUUUGCUGAUCGCACGGUCUUCGUACCGGCGACAUAUCUUUCAAAUGUCUGCCUUAUCAACUUUCGAUGGUAGUUUAUGCGCCUACCAUGGUUGUAACGGGUAACGGAGAAUAAGGGUUCGACUCCAGAGAGGGAGCCUGAGAAACGGCUGCCACAUCCAAGGAAGGCAGCAGGCACGCAAAUUACCCACUCCCGGCACGGGGAGGUAGUGACGAAAAAUAACGAGACGGCUCGCUAUGCGGUCCGUCAUCGGAAUGGGUACAAUUUAAAUCCUUUAACGAGGAUCUAUU
rnacentral:rRNA from 1 species